GACGAACGCUGGCGGCGUGCUUAACACAUGCAAGUCGAACGGAAAGGCCCUGCUUUUGUGGGGUGCUCGAGUGGCGAACGGGUGAGUAACACGUGAGCAACCUGCCCUUGACUUUGGGAUAACUUCAGGAAACUGGGGCUAAUACCGGAUAGGAGCUCCUGCUGCAUGGUGGGGGUUGGAAAGUUUCGGCGGUUGGGGAUGGACUCGCGGCUUAUCAGCUUGUUGGUGGGGUAGUGGCUUACCAAGGCUUUGACGGGUAGCCGGCCUGAGAGGGUGACCGGCAACAUUGGGACUGAGAUACGGCCCAGACUCCUACGGGAGGCAGCAGUGGGGAAUAUUGCACAAUGGGCGGAAGCCUGAUGCAGCAACGCCGCGUGCGGGAUGACGGCCUUCGGGUUGUAAACCGCUUUCGCCUGUGACGAAGCGUGAGUGACGGUAAUGGGUAAAGAAGCACCGGCUAACUACGUG
rnacentral:rRNA from 1 species